rnacentral:rRNA from 1 species
UUGAACGCUGGCGGAAUGCUUACACAUGCAAGUCGAACGGUAGAGGGGGCAACCCCUUGAGAGUGGCGAACGGGUGAGUAAUAUAUCGGAACGUGCCCAGUCGUGGGGGAUAACGUAGCGAAAGUUACGCUAAUACCGCAUACGAUCUAAGGAUGAAAGCGGGGGAUCGCAAGACCUCGCGCGAUUGGAGCGGCCGAUAUCAGAUUAGGUAGUUGGUGAGGUAAAGGCUCACCAAGCCAACGAUCUGUAGCUGGUCUGAGAGGACGACCAGCCACACUGGAACUGAGACACGGACCAGACUCCUACGGGAGGCAGCAGUGAGGAAUAUUGGACAAUGGGCGCAAGCCUGAUCCAGCCAUGCCGCGUGCAGGAUGACGGUCCUAUGGAUUGUAAACUGCUUUGUACAGGAAGAAACACUACUUCGUGAAGUAGCUUGACGGUACUGUAAGAAUAAGGAUCGGCUAACUCCGUG